rnacentral:lncRNA from 1 species
UCUUUUCUAUAAAUAUACACACUUACGUCUUCCUGGAUCCUGUCCUAACACACACUUAACCCUCUCCUUCUCUUCGAUCCUAUCUUCACAUAAUGGGAAACUACGCUUCUUGCGCUCUAGGCAACACAACCUCUUCUUUUUCUUCUUCUUCCUCUUCAAAAGUGAUUCUCCCAGACGGUGAAGUGCGUCACAUUCACGCGCCGACUAAAGCGGCUGAGCUUAUGAUGGAGAUUCCGAGCUUUUUUCUCGUCGACGCCGAAACAUUAAAGAUCGGUCGGAAACUUAACCCGUUAGCCGCCGACGACGAUCUCGAAACUAGAGGCUGUCACGUGUACGUCGCUUUUCCUAUGACGCGUGCCACGUCAGCAGCAAACGCUUCGGACAUGGCUCGGUUGUUUUUAGCCGCCAAGAAACAACAGCGCCGACGAGUCAGAACAGCCGUGAAACACUGUCACAACGGAAGGAUUUCGCCGGAGGGAGAGGAGGAUGUCAAGAUGGUAUCGGCGGGAUCUAAGCUGAUGAGUUUAGUAGACAUUGAUGAGUUUUCUGCGGCGGAGUUUAUGCAUAGAAUCUCGAUUUCGAAGUCUAAGAAACCGAAGCUGGAAACCAUAGCUGAAGAAGAAUCUCUCUUAAGCGGACUUGAAAUCAAACAAUUAUUGGAACUUGAUUUUUUCAACGCUUUUUUUAAUUUUAGUUAUUGUUCUUGUUUGUAGUGUUAUUGAGAAUGAGCAUGUAAUGAUAAAGUUCUUUAAUUUUAUGUAAAUGUAAAUUAGUAAUCUUAAGCUCUUAACCAUUAUUUUUAUAGUAUUUGUUUUUCAUCAGUAUUUAAUUAAUAAUUUAAUGAAUGCUAAAAUCAAAAUUACACCAUCUUUUAUUUUUUUUCUUAAAACAACUAUUAAAAUGAUUUAAAAGUUGUAGUAUAUAGGUAUUUAUACAGAAAAAAACAUACAGUUACAAUAAUAAAAUCUACAGACUAAAUGAAUCCUACAACAAAAUUCUAUGUAAGUUACAUCAUGUGAAGGUAAUGAUCUGGUGAUGAGAAUUUUGCUGACAAGUCUGUGGAAGAGAAGGCUUCACUAAAUCUGACUUGUAGUAAGGAGACUCUGGAAGAGCUUAGGAUUCGUUUGCACAAAUGGGUCACACAAGAAACAAACAGAUAUGAGUAAAUGGACAUGGAGAAACGUAGUCAAAAUAGUUGAUAAUUUCCAUGAACACGAGACUGUAACUCUACGAGCAAGUCUCUUCGAAACUGGAGUUUUCUACACUGCUAAGCUACUUUCUACAAUUUCAAAAGCAACUGAUUCUACUACUACUGUAAAUACUAUAUAUCGUGGUGCUAAUGCUAUAAGUAAUUAGACAUUCCUUAGUAAAAUAAAAUUUAUCAAACAAGGUUAUAGAAACGUGACGGAGAAUUGUAGAGAGAAUAUGAUCAUGCUAAGGAAUGGACUUGAGAAGACAGAAACGUUCAACAUCGUAUCAAAGAACGAGGGAGUGCCGCUUGUCGCUUUCUCCUUGAAAGAUAGCAGCUCUCACACUGAGUUCGAAAUCUCCGACAUGUUCGCAGGUUAGUUUUUAUUUGAGACAGAAACUCUAUGAAAUAUUCUAAAGACAGGUGUCAUUUGAUAAACAAUAAUUCCUUAAAAUAAUUAUAUAAGUGAAUGAAAAUAUAUAAAAAAAUUUGUAAUUAUUUUUUGAAAAGUUUAGCAAUGGAGAUGCUCUAAUAUCUCAAAUACUCUUUCACAUUUCGAAAGGUUUCACUUUGAUAUGAUUCAUGCACUUGAGAGUAAAUACAUAAGUUAGACGUUAAUUGAUACUUCAAAGAUUCAUAAAAAUAAGUAACUAGAUUUGUGUUUGAAUAUGAUGUAUCGAAAACUUGUCUGUUUAUAUAUUGAAAUGUAGGUACGGAUGGAUAGUACCGGCGUAUACAAUGCCUCCUAACGCACAACACAUAACAGUUCUUCUAGUGGUCAUCAGAGAAGAUUUUUCAAGAACACUCGCUGAGAGAUUUGUAAUCGAUAUUGAGAAAGUGAUGCGUGAGCUCGAUGAGCUUCCUUCACGAGUAAUCCAUAAAAUUUCGCUAGGCACUACAAGAAAACAUCGGUAUUCUGACGGACAUUCCGAUGGAAAAUGAAAUCCUCAGAAUUUCCUGAGGAAUUUCCGAGGAAAUUCCGAGGAAGCCCAAAUUUUGGGUUUCCUCGGAAUUUCCUCGGAAUAUACCGACGGAAUUCCGAGGAAACAUUAAUCCGUCGGUAUAUUCCGAGGAAAUUCCGAGGAGAAAUGUGUUCCUCACAAAAUUCCGAGGAAAUUUCGACGAACAAGUGACCGAUCGAUGCGUUUUUGGACAUAUACCCAUCGAUCGAUCACAUUGUUACGCUUUGGUCCAUCUUAGUGAUCGAUCGAUGCGUUUUUGGACAUAAAUCCAUCGAUCGAUGCGUUUAUAAAAAAACAUUUGAGAUUUUGAAACCCCAAACACUAGUUCCUCGGAAUUUCCUCGGAAUAUUCCGAGGAAAUUCCGAGGAACACUUGAUAUUCUAGAUCUAUCGAUGGGAUAAUCUCAUCGAUCGAUCACAUUCUUACGGUCCGGUCUAUCUUAGUGAUCGAUCGAUGCGUUUUUGGACAUAUAUCCAUCGAUCGAUCCGUUUAUAAAAAAACUUACAAGAUUUUCCGAGGACAUUCCGAGGAACAACUAAUACUAUACGUUAUAAUGACCUGUAUAGGCCAUUUACUCAUUUUGUGUUAAAAAAAAAAGACCAGACAAUACUAUUCAAGAAAAUACUCCACAAGAUUUGUAACUAAUUCAUUGUAAAUUUGAACAAAGAUUUAAAAAAAAAAAAAAAAAUUGUAACAAAGAAUGUGUGGAGAAGAGUAAUCAGUGUUGUAGAGGAUGGAUUCGACCAUCCCACAGGGCCCGAGGAAUAGGAAGGCCUGGCCCGAGUUAGGAAGAGCGACGGCUCGAUCUGUCGGCUCGAGAGUCAGGUCUCUCGGCUUGACUCUUGAGUACUUCUAGCUGACCAUCGUCGACUGAAGAGCGUUCGGCUCAGCGGUUGCUCGAACACCUACGGGCCUCUCGGCCCAGCAAAGGAGGCCCACCAAGAUGGCGUAAAAUUAGGUCAAGAGCGAAGCAUCGGGACGUCUAUAUAAGGGAAAGAAGAGGCAACGAGAAGGGGAUCCAAAAAUACUGACCAAGACUUGACGGCUAGAUUAGGGUUUUUCACCUUUACUUCGUCUCGCCGUUAAUUAUACUUCUCCGGUAGCUUGUCGAGCCACCGGUUUCCUUUCUGUCGCACUCUCCUCUUAUUUCCUUGUAACCGAUCGAACGUUUUCUCUCCGACCAUCAAUAAGACGUCUUUGUUUAAGCCCACAUCUUAUUUAUUACCGUUUCACGAUCAAACAUUUAUAAAACAUUUUUUUAUUUAUAAACACUAUUUUAUUAUUUUUUGUAUUUAUAAAAACUAUUUUGUAUUUAUAAAAAGAUGAUUUCAUAUUUAUAAAAAUAUUUAUAUUUAUUAAAACUAAUUUUGUAUUUAUAAAACAUUUUUUUAUUUAUAAAAACUAUUUUAUUAUUUUUUGUAUUUUAAAUAUGUUUUCUAUUUCAAUUUUAAUUUUAUAUUUUUGAAUUUCAAUUUAAAAAAAUAAAUUUAUAAUUUUUUUUUUUAUUUUGGAAAUAUUCCGAGGAAGUGUAUCCCUCGGAAUAUUCCGACGACAUCUUCCUCGGAAUAUUCCGAGGAAUUUCCGACGAAAAAAGUCCUCAGAAUAUUCCGAGGAAAUUCAUUUCCUCGGAAUUCCGUCGGAAAUUUCCGAGGAAUUUCCGAGGAAAGAUGAAUUUCCGAGGAGUUAUUUCCGAUGACUUUUUUCGUCGGUAUGUCGUUGGAAUAGCGUUAUUCCGACGACAUACCGACGAUUUUUUUCCUCAGUAUGCCGCUGUUUUCUUGUAGUGAGGAGAGGAGAAGAGUGAAGCUGACGGCGAUAACUUGAUGGUGACGGUGAAGAAAAGCGAUAUGGAGAAGCAGAGAAAGAUCAUCAAUGGCUGGAAGAAGUUUGUUUCCGACAGGAAGACGACAAAUGGUAUCUGUUAACUAAGUAAUAUAUGAUGAAAAUGUUUGGACUGCUUUAUCAAUAAUGCAUUUGCAUUAAUUCGGAAAUUGAAGGUUUUUUACUUUGUUGUUGUUGAACAAUUAAAGUUUCGUUUGAUUAAUACUUGAAUAUAUUUUGAUAUUAUUGCGACAUUUUGAAUAAAGUUUCUGUGUUUUUGUUAUUAGUUUGUCAUCCAUUACAAAUAGGAUUGGUGAGUCUAGUAAAUGCAUAAUAUUUGGCUUAUAAUAGACUUGCUAAUUAUCUUCAAAUAAAAACAGUCUUAUUAUAAUUGAACUUUUAUAAUGUGCAACAAUAAUCAAACGAAAAGUUACACAAUGAAGUAGUAAACUUUUUUGAUCGAGAAAUGAGAUUUAUUUAUGAUAUUUUUCAAAUAAACUCUAAGCCGGAGAAGGAGCAGUAGCAUCGUGGCUAGAGCAAUGUUUCUUAACAUAGUUGUUAACGAAAGGGUUACGGAACGAUCUGAAAACCGUAUGUUUACAAUUUUCAUUCAAUGUUUUGAUCAUGGCGCAACAUUCAGAAUCAACGGUUGGUUUUCCGGUUAACGUCUUCAUCAAACAUUUUGUUACCAUCUUGUAACUGGAAAAGCACUCCUUUAAUUCCUGAUUUGGGCUGUGUUUGUUAAUAGCCGAGGGCGCGUGAGCGUAACCCGACCAUUGGAGCUCUUCGCCAUCUGUUAGGUCAAGAAAUUGAGAUGUGACACAGCUUGAAAAAAGAACCAUAGCAACAAAAAUUGUGAGAUUCUUCAUUUUCUUUUGAUUACUUGUCGGUGUGAAAUUGAGAAAAAGUGAAUAUGCUUUUAGUUUUGGAUGACUUUAAAAUGAAACUACGUCAGUGUUUAUAUAGAAGUUUACAAUGAAUACUUUUAUAGCACAUACAAACAAAACAUAGAAAAGAAUCAUGACCAGUUAUGUAAGAAAUUGUUAUUAUUCAAUUAAGGACAUAAAUCUAUAAAAUUUGCAUGUUGUUAACCCAAAAAAUUGUAUAAUAUCUUAAUGACCAAAAAUAUGGUAUAAAAUAUUUAUCUAUUAAUAUUAUUAUUUGAUAAGUGAAUUUGUUUACUUGUCAUCUUCUCCAUGAUUUUAGGUUAAAUCAAUAGUUUUAAUAAACAAUUUUAAUUAGACUAAUUAAAUAUCUUUAAUUUCAUUUAUAUUUGUAUGUUAAUAUGAUUUUUUCGUGGUAUUUUCAUUUCAUUUUUAUUUUUCUUUGUACUUUCAUUUUUAUUUGUAUUAUUGUUCUUAUGGUUUUCGUGGUAUUUUAAUUUUUUUUCUUAAUAUUCAGUUAAUAGAAUAAAAUUUAUUUGUUAUUUAAUUUAAAAUUUUUUAUAUUAUUUUAUAUUGGGAAUUAAAUUAUAUUUUUUAAAUAUUUUCAAAAUACCAGUAUCCAAAAGAGAAUAUUUUCAAAAAAAAAAAUUUGAUUUACAACAAGUACCUUAUACAGUAUUUAUAAACAUUAAAAUUAACUUUAUUUAAUUUUAAUGUUUUCAAGAGUUUCACAGAAUUAUAACGUUGUUUAAUUUAAAAUGUAAAGAAAAAUGUGAUUCUCUUUUUUUAUAAACUGCAUUUUCUAAAAUGAUUUUUAUUAGUUAUAAUAUUAAAGUUUGAAAGUUAAAAGAUUAUUUAAUAAUAACAAAUUAUGAUUUUGUAAUAAAGAAAUACUAUUUUAUAGGAAAAUAUCAAUCUCUAUUUUAAAGUAAAAAUAUAGAUUUACUAUAGCUUAUUUUCUCAAUUAUAACAUUUAGAAAUGAAAAUAACAAUAAAUAUAAAAUGUUCUUAUCUUAUGCAUUAUAUAUUAAUGUUUUGUUUGUCAAUAUGAUUGGUCUGUUUGAGUGUUUAUACAAUUAUUAUGGAGGUAUGUUACAGUAUAAUUAUAUAUAUAUAUACCAAUAAUUUUAUUUACUCUGAUUAAUAUAUAUAAUAUAUAAAAUUGGGUUUGGUUUAACAUUCUUAUGCUUUUGAUUUAUUUGAAAUUUUUUGGUUUUGAUAAUUCCAAAAAUUUGGUUUAAUAACAUCACUUAAUAUUAAAAGUUGUAUUUUUUUUAUUUAAUUAAGAAAAAAAUUGAGAAUGACGCUUGGAAGAUGCACAAAGUUUUAUAAAUUAAUAUAAUAAAAACUGGUUAAAGAUAACAACAUAUUUUAAAAUAAAAAAUAUUAAUGUUGUCAUCCAAAAUAAUGUCUUUAAAUCAAUAAACGGUAAAAAUUAAGAAAUUGAAAGAUUCAUAAAAUAGUAUAAAUUUAAUAUUUUAUUUAAGUUUUUUGAUCUUUAAACUAAUAGUACACGGUGGCUGACCUAGCAUCAUAUGUAGUUGGAAGCACAAUACUAAAAAAAAAAACAAAAACAAAAAUAUUACGGACUGGGGGAACUUUUUUUUGUUUAUUCAGUAAACUAAAAACAAUAUAAUCAAAUUAGAACUUAUAUUUGGACUGCUAUCAAUAAUGCAUCUGCACUAAUUCGGAGAUUUGAAGGUUUUCACUUUAUUGUUGUUGAACAAUUUGAUUAGUACUUGUAAUAUUUUUUGAUAUUAUUGCGACAUUUUGAAUAAAGUUUCUGUGUUUUUGUUAUUAGUUUUUCAUCCAUUACAAAUAUGAUUAAUGAGUCUAGUAAAUGCAUAAUAUUUGGCUUAUAAUAGUGUUGCUAAUUAUCUUCAAAUAAAAAAACUAAUUAUAAUUGAACUUGUAUCAUCAUUUAUAAUGUGCAAUAAUAAGCCAAAAAAAAAAUGUUACACAAUCUAGUAGUAAUUAACUCUUGAUCGAUACAUAGAUUUAUUUAUUAUAAUAAUUUUGUAAUUAAACUUUGUAUCAUCGCUUUAUAAUGUGCAAAAAUAAGCAAAAAAAAGUUACACAAUACAAGAGAUUUAUUUAUAAUAUAUUUUUUAGAUGAACUCUAAGCCGGAGCAGGAGCACUGUAGCUAGAGCAAUGUUUCUCGACAUAGUUGUUAACAAAAGGGUUACGGAAGGUUUUGAAAACCGUAUGCUUACAAUUUUCAUUCAACGUCUUGAUUGUGGCGCAACAUUCAGAACCAACUGUUGGGUUUUUGGAUAACGUCUUCAUCAAACAUUUUGUUACCAUCUUGUAACUGGAAAAACACUCUUUUAAUUCCCGAUGUGGGCUGUGUUUGUGGGUAGCCGAGGGCGCCUGAGAGUAACCCGACCAUUGGAGCUCUUCGUCAUCUGUUGGGUCGCGGAAUUGAGAUGUGACACAGCUUGAAAAAAGAAUUAUAGCAACAAAAAGUGUGAGAUUCUUCAUUUUCUUUGGAUUCUUUGUCGAUGUGAAAUUGAGAAAAAAUGAAUAUGCUUUUAGUUUUGGAUGGCUUUAAGAUGAAACUAUGUCAGGGAUUAUAUAGAUGUUUACAGUGAAUACUUUAUAGCAUAUUCAAACAAAACAUAGAAAGAAUCAUGACUAGUUAUGUAAGAUAUUGUUUAUAUUCGUUUAAGGACAUAAAUCUAAAAUAUCUGACUAGUCAUGUUGUUAACCCAAAAAGAUUGUAUAAUAUCUUAAUGUUGACCAAAAACAUGGUAUGAUAUCAUAAUAAUAUUCUAUGGUCACCUUAUAAAGUGGAAAAACAUCAAAUUAACAUUGCCUAUUAGAAUAUUCUCAUUUACACAACGUUAUCCCAAAAAUAAUAAUAAUAAAUUAGGAUAAGGUUCACAAAUUAAAUCUAAAAAGAUAACUACAAACACAUGACAUAAACCCCUUACUAGAUUUUAAUCCGCACACCCGUGCGGGUAACAUUUCAUUUAUAAAUAUAAAUUUGUAUAUUAUUUUGUAUAUAAUAAUUUAUGAUAAUAUAUUGUUGUCAUUUUAAAAAUAACUAAAUAGAUGAUAUAUACUUCUAAAUAUUAAAAUUUAACAUAUGUUGACAAUUUUAUUUUUUGUGAAAAUUAUUACAUAAUUUAUGAAUAUUAAUCAUUUUAAAAGUUGAAUGAUAUUUUAGUCACUUUAAACGGUGAAUGAUAUUUUAUUUAUUUAUAUUAAUGAAAGUAUUUUUUCAAAAUAUAAUGGUUUACCAAUUCAACAUAAUUUUAAUAUGUUUGCAAAAAAACAUAAUUUUAAUAUGUAAUUCAUUAAUUACUUCUAUUUUAAUAUAAUGUAGGGUAUCAGAGCCUACUUGCGUAAUACUGAAAUCAAAUCUUAUUUAGUCUAUAAUUUGGUAUAGAUAAAUAAUCUUAUAGUUUCAACGAGAAUUAAAUUGGCGUAGUUAUCAAUUUCGCAGAAGCGUAAUCUGAUUCGUGCGUAAGAACAAUAUGUUGUUAAAAUAACCAUUAAGCGUUAGUGCUUCUCUUUAUUGAAAAAUGCAUGGUUAUUUGUUAAUUGAUAAUAGUUUUGUUUGAUGCGAUCAAUCCAACUAUUAUAAUUAACCGAUUAAGAAUAUCUAGAUAUACGCGUUGUCAUGUGAUGAUCUUGUUCAUGUUGCAUACAUAUAAUUUCAAGAGGCAAUCGUAUUACUGUAAUACUUGAAUGCGUGUUUCUAAAUUAACCUAAAACACAUAUGAGAUGUGUAUAUACCAAUUGAACCAAUGAUUGGUUUAGGUUGUUUAAUACAAUUGGUUUGGUCCAAUUGGGUUGGUCGUUUGAUCAGAUUUUAAUUAGAUUAAAUUCUAAAAUCAAAUAUAUAAAUAAUUAAUUAUUUUAAUUAGAUUAAAUUAAUUUAAUUAUUUAUAAUUCAAUUAAAAUACAUAUAAGAUAUGUAUUAGUUAUAUUUAUAUUUAUAUUAGAUAUAAAUUUUAAAUAUAAGUUCAAAUUGAAUUAAAAUUUGUUCCUCAAUUAAUUUCAAGUACUUUUGAUGUCUACCCAAACUUAUCAACUAUCAUGGCUUGUUUCGUUGUAAGAUGGGUUUGACAAAGCAAUGUGUCUGCAAUUACAUAAGUGACGUAGAUGGUAACGGUUACCAUAUGAAUAUAAGACUGGUUUACUUGACUAGGCUAUCAAAACGGUUUUGGGUGGAAUAUAGGUGGAAUCCUCAAGCCAUUUCCACAUGUUGGUUGUGUAAAACGGAAGCUGAGACUCGUGACCAUUUAUUUUUUGAGUGUUCUUACUCUAAGGAAGUCUGGAUUGGAACCAUUAAACAUUUGGCAGGGCAUGGAGAAGUGUAUAAAUGGGAUCGAGUGCUUCGGAUUGUUGAGAAGGGAUUACACAAGCGGAGUUCGACUGUGCUACUGCGUUAUUGCUUUCAGGCCGUGGAUUAUGCGAUAUGGCAUGAGAGGAAUGUGAGAAGAGUUGGUGAGGCAUCGCAGCCAGCUACUUGUCUGAUCGCAAAGCUUGAUAAGCUUAUUAGAAACAGAAUAUCUUCAUUGAGAAGGAGGGAAGGAGGAAAAUAUGAGAAAAUGAUGGAGGAUUGGGUUGACAGAGACUAGUGGAGCUUGGGAGUUAUAGAAAGCAUAAUUCUUUCGGUUUUCAUUUAUGUCCUUGAAUAUAGCAGCAGAUGAAACUCGGUACAAAGGUUUUUUUUUAUUUGAAUAAAUUUAAAAUUCUUUCACAAAAAUGCAUAAUAUUUGGCUUAUAAUAGUGUUGAUAAUUAUCUUCAAAUAAAAAACUUAUUAUAAUUGAACUUGUAUCAUUAUUUUAUAAUGUGCAACAGUAAGCAAAAAAAAAGUUACACAAUCUAGUAGCAAUUAGCUCUUUUGAUCGAUGCAAGAGAUUUAUUUAUUAUAUUAUUUUAUAAAUGAACUUGUAUCAUCAUUUUAUAAUGUGCAACAAUAAGCAAAAAAAAAAAAGGUUAGGCAAUGUAGUAGUAAACUAUUUUUGAUCGAUACAAGAGAUUUAUUUAUGAUAUUUUUCAAAUGAACUCUAAGCCGGAGUAGGAGCAUCAUAGUUAGAGCAAUGGUUCUCGACAUAGUUGUCAACAAAAGGGUUCUGGAACGAUCUGAAAACCGUAUGCUUACAACUUUCAUCCAACGUUUUGAUCGUGGCGCAACAUUCAGAACCAACGGUUGUUUUUUUGGUUAACGUCUUCAUCAAACAUUUUGUUACCAUCUUGUAACUGGAAAAGCACUCCUUUAAUUGCUGAUUUGGGCUGUGUUUGUGGGUAGCCGAGGGCGCCUGAGCGUAACCCGACCAUUGGAGCUCUUCGUCAUCUGUUGGGUCAAUGAAUUGAGAUGUGACACAGCUUGAAAAGAGAAUUAUAGCAACAACAAUUGUGAGAUUCUUCAUUUUCUUUGGAUUCUUUGUCUAUGUGAAAUUGUGAAAAAUGAGUAUGUUUUUAGUUUUGAAUGGCUUUAAGAUGAAGCUAUGUCAGGGAUUAUAUAGAAGUUUACAAUGAAUACUUUCAUAGCAUAUACAAACAAAACAUAGAAAGAAUCAUGACAAGUAAUGUAAGAUAUUGUCUAUAUUCGUUUAAGGACAUAAAUCUAAAAUUUUCAUGUUGUUAACCCAAGAAGAUCGUAUAAUAUCUUAAUGUUGACCAAAAAUAUGGUAUAGUAUCAUAAUAAUAUUAUAUGGUCAUCUAAUAUUAAGGAAAAACAGCAUAUUAACAUCGCCUAUCAGAAUAUUCUCAUUUGCUCAGCAUUAUCCCCCCAAAAAUCAAAAAUUAGGAUAAGGUUCACAAAUUAAAUCUAAAAAGAUAACUACAAACACAAACACAUGACAUAAACCCCUAAUACUCGUGUUGACUCAGAAUAUCGAGGCAUAUAAUCUUGCACAUGGUACUCGGAGUCAACAUUCGUACUUUGUCCACAUGGACACAUAAUCUCCGGUUUGAUUAGUAAAGUCUCAUGUUUAUAUUGAUAACAAAAAAAUAGAGUCGUCAUUAAUUUAAAAUAAUCUUCAGUUCAAUUUAACGAUAUGAUUCAGACUAUAUUUGUUUUGUAUAGAAGAAAAACUGAAUUCUGCCAAAAAUAAUAAGCUAGUAUGUAUUGAAAUAUAGCCGACAACCAAAAAUAUUAUAGCGACAACAAAACUCAACCUAAAAUCAUUCUUUUUUGAAGCUUUAAGACUAUUAUUUUGCAACUUGCAAGUUCAACAAAUAAGCUUGUAAUCACUGUUCUCUACUUUCUGUUUAAGCUUCAGCAGAAAACAAACCAUCAUAGUCUAUUGGAAAAAAGCCAAAAAGCCAAACUUUCAAAUUAGCUUUUAAAUUUAUGUAGCUUAUUAUUCUUCUCUUAUCUGUUAAAGUUAAACAUAUUAAAAAAACUUACCAAAGUUGCCUAACUUCUAACUUCUCUUGACAAAAUUAAAAAUAACAUUGUCCGGAAAAUAUUAUAAAUUAAAAAACGUGUUCGGCCAUUUACAACUUGUAACUUUCAUGUAGAGUAAAGUAACAAGAAAAAUUAAAAAAGAGUUGUUGGCCAGAGACUAGUGAAAACACGGCAAUACAUUUGAAUUAUAACAAAAUUGAAAUAUAUACGCGCAUUCAACCAUAUCAUGUCAACGUGUAUAUGCACAAUUGUCUAUCUCCACCUUGCAGAUAACAUUAUUAUAAUAUAAUAUUUCUAUAACAGACUGUAAACUAUAUCUUCCUCGAACAUUCUUUUCUAUAUAUAUACACACUUAUAUCUUCCUGGAUCCUGUCCUAACACACACUUACCCCUUUCCUCUCUUAGAUCUUUCUUCACAUAAUGGGAAACUACGCUUCUUGUGCUCUAAGCAACAUAACGCCUUCUUCUUCUUCAAAAGUGAUUCUCCCUGACGGUGAAGUGCGUCACAUUCACGCGCCGACUAAAGCCGCUGAGCUUAUGAUGGAGAUUCCGAGCUUCUUCCUCGUCGACGCCAAAACGUUAAAGCUCGGUCGGAAACUUAAACCGUUA